UACGGAGGAUCCGAGCGUUAUCCGGAUUUAUUGGGUUUAAAGGGUGCGUAGGCGGCCUAUUAAGUCAGGGGUGAAAGACGGUAGCUUAACUAUCGCAGUGCCUUUGAUACUGAUAGGCUUGAAUGUACUUGAGGUAGGCGGAAUGUGACAAGUAGCGGUGAAAUGCAUAGAUAUGUCACAGAACACCAAUUGCGAAGGCAGCUUACUAAAGUAUGAUUGACGCUGAGGCACGAAAGCGUGGGGAUCAAACGGG
rnacentral:rRNA from 1 species